UCUGAAAAGUGGAAUAUUACGUCUUUUGUAUGGAACUAUAUCCAGGCAGAGAACACUGAAACUUUUUAAUUUCCCUACCAAUUCCGUAUCAUCCCCAUUUCCAGACACACAGUUUUUUUUUUAGUUACCGCCCAACUGAAAAGUAUUCCAACAAACUACUAGCAAAGAGUGCCUCUAAUAGUCUAAUUGCAACCCUAUAGUCGCAAGAGCAGCAAAAGUUAUAGCAGGUUACUGAUUCCGAGCAAUCGUGAUCUGGAUGAAGUAGAGGACUAUUGACGCACUUGGCGUGGGUGUCGAGGAACUUGGCGGAGCGUCCGGCGACGAGGAUGUCGCAGGCGAGGGCGAUCUCGAAUCCGGCGGUGACGGCGAACCCCGCGAUGGCGCCGACGAUGGGCUUGCGGCAGAGCUCCAUCUGCGCGACGGGGUCGGUGGCGACGUCCUUGACGUCGCCCUUGAACACGUCCUCCGCCGCCGUCAGGUCCACCCCGGAGCAGAACGCUCGGCCGCGGCCCGCGAGCACGACCGCCGCCACGGCGUCGUCGGCGCCCAGCCGCCGGAACGCGGCCGCCAGGGAGACCAUCAUGGGCUUCGUCAGCGCGUUCAGCGCCGCGGGACGGUUGAUGGUCACCACGGCGACCGGGGACCCCGGCCUCGCCGGCUCCACCACGAUGAGGUCGCCGGAGUCCGGCGGUGCGGCGCCCAUCGGGUCUGAUUGGGUUUGGGUUAGCGUCUCGGGUUGGUGUGCUCCCGCAAGCGGCCCCCUUUUGACUUGCCUGAUGAGCAGAUGGGAUCCACACUGCGCCGUAGAGCCGACGACAUCCAGGGCCCACCACCUAGAGAGAGCUACCGGAGUCGGCUUGCGUAUUCGACUAGCGAAUGCUGAUAACGUUGGUGACGUGGCACGUGGGUGACUAGCAUGUGGAGGGGAGGUGGAGCCCAGCCCACCGACGUUUUGCUGGUAAAACUGAGAAGCACAGUUGAGAGUUGGGACAGAGACAUCGUGCUUCGGUAAACAAUUACCAGGUCGUGUUUAGUUACUCCUAAAAUUCCAACUUUAGCACUAUGUAAAAAGAAAAUUCCCCAUCACAUCAAACUUGCGGUACAUGCAUGGAGUACUGAAUGUAGACGAAAUUAAAAACUAAUUGCACAAUUUUGUUGUACUUCACGAGACGAAUCUUUUGAGCCUAAUUAGUCGAUAUUUGGACAAUAAUUUAUAAAUACAAACAAAACGCUACAAUACGCUACAGUAAUUUUGGUUGCCCAAAGUUAAGCUACUAAACAAGGCCCCAGUUUCUUUGUUCUUCUGGAAUGCAGUUCUGUACAUAACUAGGCUGCUGCAAACACCGCCGCUAGGGAGUAGGGAUCACAUCUGAGGCCGAUGCCUUCGACGGAAUGGAUCGCAACACCUUUUUUGUCGCACCCAAUCUCAUCCGAUGCGUCCCAUACCGUCAAUAAUCCACCAACUUUAAUUUGUUCUGACCAGCAAACAUGUCACUAGCUCACGUUGCAACAAGAAGUCCAAAGGAAUACGAGAACGAAGCUAUGAGAAUAAACAAAAGAACACCGUUGCGGCGUCACUCACAGAUCAUCUAUCCUACCUAGCUAAGCACGACUGCACGAGUGACGUUACACUGAUCGAGGCCAAAUUAGCCCCCGAACUAAUCUAUUGGACUAGAAAACGAAUCUGAACAAGCAGCUAACAAUAGCAGAAGCGGCGAUCGAUCGAUUCAGUUCAGGGCUUCAGGCCAUGAUCAGCUGGCGCACGUUGACCGGCGAGAUGUCCGAUGGGCCGCCGUCGAGGAUCCGGCGGGCGAUGAGCGCGUUGGCGGCGUCGCUGGGGUGGUAGGGGUCCCAGAACACGUACUUGGACCUGUCCGCGCAGUACCGCGACGUCGGCCCGCACGGCACCAGCCCGCCGAACCGCCCGCCCACGUAGCAGCACGCCGAGUCCGCCACCUCGAACCCUGCACGAACGAGAGCAGCGAAAUCGAUAAGAUCACAAUGAUCUCACAGCAUUUUUCCCAGCCUCCAAACGAUUCUUUCACGACACCGUGGGAUCUGUAGUUGGCGAUGAUGUCGGAGACGAUGUGGUAGACGUCGGCGUAGACGAAGCGGGAGCCGGGGAGGGCGGCGCCCAGCUCGUCCACCAGGGCCCUCAGCCGCCGGUUGAAGGACCGCGCCAGCUGGUUCGGGAACUCGGCGCAGGCCGCGGCCGCCGACGGGUUCGUCUCCCUCUGGUACGGGAUGCAGCCGAUCGGGCCCACGUUCGCCACCACGACCUUGCGGGCGUCCAGGAGGUACAGCCUCUGCGACGCACACAAGCCACCGCGUCAGGCACGCACGCUGCGCGACAACUCGCGGCAGCUUUCAAGCAGGUGCCUACGUACCGCGAGCUGCUGGCGGUACUUGGCAAUCAUGGCGCCGAUGAAGGCGGCCGGCGGCGUCGAGGCGCGCUCCGGCACGGAGAGGAUGGGCGUGAGGUAGUUGUUGAUGAAGUCGUUGGAGCCCAUGGUGACCGAGAAGAGCGCGCCCCGCAGCAGGCUCACCGCCGCCACCUCCCCGUGCAGGGCGAUCAGGUCGUGCCGGCUGUUGGCGUAGUUGUCGAUCUGAGCGUCCAAGUUCAGGCGCCCGCCCUGUCCAAAGACAAAACCAGACAGAUAUCAGCACCAGCUUGCGUUAAAACAAUCACACUGUCUCCAUUCAAAAUCCAGAAUGUUUCUUUCCUGUACAAGCUCAGCUUAGCACUCAUGACAGGUCAUCUUGGUAGGGGACAGUGAAACAGUAAAAAUGAUAAUUUAUUUACAUUAUUUAUGUGCGGCAAUGCAGGGCAUGCAGCUAGCGAUUCGUUAGCCUUCACGCAAAAGAGAAGGUUUUGGAGAACUGACUCAUGCGGAGGCGAUGAUCAAAACUUACUCGGGAACAAGCUAAGCAUUGGGGAUAAAACACACACACACACAUGUAAAGUACUCUUAGAUUAGUACGACGAUUUCACACAGCAGGAAUAGUGGAGAGGCCGUGUACUGACGAAGAUACUGCCGGUUUGGUUCAGGAUGCCUCCGCCGCCGGACGCGUAGUUGACGCCUCUCAGCAAGGCGUCGCCGGUGGUCUCCGGGGACAUGUACGGCGGCACGAACCCUCCCAGCCCCAUCUCUUGCCCUGAAACACGAAAACAAGUGAGGAAAAAUUCAGGGGCCGAUGCAAUAAUGCAAGGCAAUGUAACAGUAAAGCUCAGGCAAAGAGACUGAGCAGUCACCUAGAAUGUCGACGAUGGUCCGGCCGUUGGUGUACCGGCCGGUGGGCUGGUGGCCGAGGAAGUCGAUGCCGUUCGGGGGGUAAUUCGCCUUGGACAGGGAGACGAUGUAGUUGUUGUUGCCGGCGUCGACGAGCGAGUCGCCGAAGAUGAAGGUCGCUGGCAUGCCAGCGCCGGCGACGCGAGUUGGCGCGAGCAAGACGAGGCAGGCCAGCAGGACGAAAUGAGAUGCCACUCUGGGCCGCCGCUCGUGCGGAGGACACAUUGACGAGGCAAGAACGUCACGUACACCGAGAGAUCUCAGAUGAGGGGAUACAACUAGACAAGCAACGUUUUGCCUAGAAGUACAGCUACUGUUCAGUGUUGCUAGAAGCCUUGGAAGUUGCUAGCUCACUUGAUCCUACUGGUUAUUGUUGAAAGUGCGAGAAGUGGUUGCGGUAGAGGAGAAGUUUGAUGGCGAGGGAAGAGAGGUUGCCUACUUAUAUAGCACGAGAAACAGAAUCUAAGGGACUGCAGAAAAUAACACAGAUAAUUGAGACAAUAGAAGAAAACAAACAGACAGAAAUAGGCUUGAUUGGGCCUUGCAAGUAGUACUAAUUAGCUCACUAAUAAAUACCAGAUAUUAUGAGCAGAUGACAGACCGAGGUUUAAAGAUGGAACAAAUGGAGGCAAAGAAAGCGGCCAAGAAACCAAGACUGACGGGGAGGAAAGAUUGUGUGACCUGCGAAGGUUGUUGCGAGCAACAUACAUAAAAACUCACAUGGCAUUGUUUUCACAUGAACGUAUCAUGGUUCAUGGACUCUCCCAUUCGGCAUUGAUUGGUUGCCGAUCUCUCAAGCCUUCAUCAGGUGCCCGUGAGCCUUUGGCACCGGGACGGUGACAGAAUUCUGCUUCUAGGACUGGAGCGAGAGUCGGAUCGGUUCCCGCAUUUGGCGCAUCUCAUUGUACUAGGAUCAGGCUCCUGAAAUGGACUGCAGCGGGCAGCCGAGCCCAGGACAUGACGGAGGACCGAGGGUCCUGUGAAAGUGCUUUUGCUUUCAAAAAAAAGUCAAAAGCUAAAUUAAAGGGGUGAGCUUCUAAACCUCUACUUCUACAAAAAGCAAUUUUUUAGUUCAUUCUCCACAGCCACACUUGGUGGACGUUUCACGAAAAUUACCCGCAAUGCUACCGUUUAUGGGCGUACCCCUUCGUUUUUCUUUCCCACCGACGCCUCUGUCGCUCCCCACCCGACGCCUCCUCUCAGUCCCUGCCCGACACCUACUGCGCUAGGGUUUCAUCGCGCCCUCCGACGGCGGUCCGGCCGUGCCCUCCGGCGGCGGCGCCCCUCAUUUGCCUCCCCUCAAACUGGCGGCAGCGCUCCACCCACCGAAUUGAGCAUCCACGACCCUUGUCGUCCUCCCAGCGAGCCCACGGCGGUGCCCCUAGUUCACCUCCCCUGAAGAUGGCGGCUGCACCCUGAAGCCGGCGGUGGUGGCGCUCUGAAGCCGGCGGUGACGCUCCUCCUCGUCCUUCCCUUGAGCCCGUCGUCCACCUCCCGAUCUGCACGCCAGCAACCUCCCCUUCCAGAUCUGGUGCUAAGGUAACUUCGACUCUCCUUCCAGACAUGAUAGCAAGCAUUUUAUAGCUCAUUUUUUCUAUGCCAAAUGCUGCUCCAAGGAGAAACACGGCUAGGCCAAAUAGCUCAUGGUAAUGCAGUACUAGUUUUGUGUCCAUAACCAAAAUGAGGUGCAUGGUAUUUUGUUUCUGAUCUAUACUAUAUGUAAAGGGUUAACUGACUAGCAAGGGUGAAUUGCUAGAGUUCAUUACGGUUGAAAUAAUUUGGCUAGCGUGAAUAACCUGCUUGUAUUUAAGUUCUACUAUAUGGUGACGCAUCACUAUUUUCUUAACUCAGCUAAAAAGAUGGGUGUAUUUUUUUAUUGACAUGUUUGCAAGAUACAAAGCUGGUUCGUAUUGUCCAAUAUACUUUUAAGCCAUAUACAGCUCUUUAUGUGUGUUGAUAAUAGGCUUGUCCUCAAGACAUGGCUAAUUUGCUUGGGGUCCAGGUUUGUCACAACCUGGAGAAAGUUAUGCUUUAUGUGUGUUGAUAAAUUGGUGGAUGCAUGACAAAUUGGAGGAUGCAUGAGCAUUGAUAUUGUUAUGAUUGUGAAUUGAAUCAAUUUUUUUUCUUUGUUCAAGAAUGACUGAUAAGGCAGAUUGGUGUAAUGUCAAUGUGAGGCAUUUCAUUGACAUAUGCAAAGGAGAGAUAGAAGCUAGGAAUAGAUCCUUGGGAAUGUUCACUAGGGCAGGUUGGAAAAAUCUGGUAACUAAGUAUGAAGAAAAAAUUAGGCUGAAGCAAAUAAAGAAACAAUUGAAGAAUAAGUUGGACAAUAUGAAAAAGGAAUAUACAUGGUUUAUGGAGUUCAAGAAUUCUGCCAUCGGUCUUAGAUGGAAUAACGCAAAGCAAGCUGUUGACUGCUCCAACGAAUGGUGGGAUCAACACCUAGCUGUAAGAACUGUGUACUGUCUUUUUUCAUUUACAAUUUUGCAUUUUGAGUAUAUGGGCCGACUUAUUAACUUUAUCCAUUUAAUUUCAGAGAUGCAACAAUCCUGAUAAAGUUAUCAAAUACAAUCAUAUUAGGUUCAGAAAACAAGCACCGAAGCACCUUGAUGAUCCUCAUAUGUUGUUUGAUAGGAUACAUGUUAGCGGGGCAAGUGCAUCCUAUCCUGGAGAUAUUUCCUCCGAUGACUCAAGUGAUGAGGAUGUGGGUGAGAUACAUAAACCUCUAGAUAAUGAUGAUGUCAAGUUGGUUGCUCUGAAAAAAUCGAAACUAGGAAAAAAGAAAUGAAAGGAGUCCUCUACUGCUACUGACGAAAAGGAUGAGAAGAGCCCAUUCUUUUGAUUGUACAAGAACACAUAUUUGAAGAUAGAAACUGCAGCAGAGAAGAUCUCCACAAGUAUUGAAGCAUCAUCUGCACCUCCAACCAGCCAAGUCCCUACCAUUGCAGAGGAUAUGAAGAUGGUUAAAGAUUGUGGGAUGCAAGAGAAAAUAGUUCUAAUGCAUAUAACCACCUUUCUGAUUGUCAAGCCUGAAUUUAGGGAGAUCUUUAGCAUGCUGGAAACAAAAGAAGGAAGGUUUGACUUGAGGUUUAUCUUUACAUUUGCUGGCCAGGUUCUGCACAUGACACAUGCAUCCUGAACCAUGCGUUAGCAAAUUUUUCUUCAUUUCCCGUGCCUCCUAAAGGUAUGCAUGUUUUGUUACUGGUUGUCAAUAUUUCUAUUGUUAUUUAGCUUUGCUGAUUUGGUUUUAUAGGUAUUACCUCGUGGACUCUGGUUAUCCAAAUCGAAUAGGAUAUCUUGCCCCUUUUAAAGGAAGCACAUACCAUACACUAGAGUUUCAACUUCGUAAUGGACGUGCUCCUCAAGGGAAGUACGAGGUGUUCAAUUUCUUGCAUUCAUCUCUUCAAAAUGUCAUUAAGCGAGCUUUUGGGGUCUUGAAGCAGAAGUGGCGUAUUUUGAAGGGCAUUCCAAGUUUUCCUACUCAAACUCAGAAGCAUAUAAUUCUAGCUUGUAUGGCAUUGCAUAAUUUUAUUCGUGACACCAAUUUGGAAGACAAGUUGUUCGAUAGAUGUGAUGGUGAUGAGGAAUACCUGCUACAACACAGUACCACGACAGAAACACAAGAAGAUGACAAUCAAGAUGGAGAGAAUGAGGACACCAUGAAUACCAUUCGCAAUAGGAUAGCCGAUGCUUUGGUUAGUGCGAGAGGGAGAUAGUUAUGUUGAAGAAGGACAUCAUUAUGUGAACCAUAGUCUUUUGUAAUAUUCUAUAAUUUUAUUUAUGUGGACCAUAUAUUAAUGGUGAAUGAAAAUCUUUAAGAAAAUUAAUUUUUUUCUUUUUAAAAUGGUAAUUUACAUGCGAAUUAGUGAACAAAACAGUGUUUUACAAUAAAUUUAAAUAUCAACAUUCUCUUAGCAGUUCAGGGGCAUUACAGAACAUUUCUUACCAAACCUACAGCUUCACAAAUAUUCUAACCAAACGGCUUUCAGCUCUCUCACAGCUCACAACAGCUUUUCUCACAGCUCACAGCCCACAACAGCUUUGUUUAUAGCCACAGUCCAACCAACCAUACACUGAAUCCGGCAGGGACGCUGCUAUCAGCUAUUUACUGUGCCUCGCGUUAUAAUGCUCGAUGCAAGGGGCGCCACUCGAUCUCGAAACAGAGCAAACUAGCCAUCGAGUGGGUUUUCGUUUUCCUAAGAAAAGCUGCGGAAACUGCUGAGUGAUAGCGUAGGAGACGAACGGACGAUGGAUGCUGAAAGGAACAAGCAUCGACCAGCCAGUUGAAGCUGCCGUCGGAGGUGGCCGGCUUUGCGGCGCGCUCUUGCAGGUUGCAGCCUUGCAGGUGAUUCAAGGUGUCACUUGUUUUACUGAUCCUCGUCCUUUGUCCUGAAUUUAUAGACCUGUUUGGCAACCAAGUGUUAAAGUUUAACACCCGUCACAUCGGAUGUUUGGAUGCUAAUUAAGAGUAUUAAAUAUAGGCUAAUUAUAAAACUAAUUGCAUAGAUGGAGUGUAAUUCGCGAGACGAAUCUAUUAAGCCUAAUUAGUCCAUGAUUUGACAAUGUGGUGCUACAGUAACCAUUUGCUAAUUAUGGAUUAAUUAGGCUUAAUAGAUUCGUCUCGCGAAUUAGCACAGGGUUCUGCAAUUAAUUUUAUAAUUAGCUCAUAUUUAGUUCUUCUAAUUAGCAUCCGAACAUCCGAUGUGACACUGUUAAAGUUUAACACCUCGUAUCCAAACACCCCCAUAUCGUGUACGUCUUGGAAAUAAAUUUCUCUGCUUCCAUCUGCUAGCGCUUGUACGUCACACGUUUUAGGAAUGUAUAUAGCGGCAGGACGCCUUUGACGAUUAAAAAAGUAAAGUUAACAACCUCACUAAGAAACAGGUUUUCACCGUUAGAAAAAGGUAACAAGUUUUGACUUUUGAGUAGCCAUCUCAAGCAAAACAUGUCCCGUUCCAAGAUCCAUUGUUUGCUUCACACAACGCAAGGUGACAAGCUCAAGGUUCUGAACUGAGCACCUUUCGCAGCCCCUGCAAGAGCAGACAAAAUGAAAAGGUCCAUUUUACUCCCGUAACCUCCAUGAACAAAAUUUAGACUCGCUUUACUCCCUUAAAUUAUUUCAUUUGGUCCAAUCUACCUCCGAAUUAGAUUUCUCUUUUUUGUUCUCCGUGUACGAGUUGAAUUUUGAAUUCAACUUUUGUGAGCAUACGCAAAACAUGAUUUCUUUUGUUAAAAAAUUAUACUACAAAUUUUUCAUGGUUAUUUUCAUAGGUUAGGAAUAUGUAAUACGAAAUUGAUCUUAGAGAUACAAAACUAUACAAAAAGUAAUAACAAAAAAUUGCUAAUGUAUUUUUCUAACAUAAAGCAUCAUGUUAUAAGUUCACUGUCAAAAUCUGAAAUUAAAAUUCAACUUCUACAUGAAGAAAUAAAAAAGAGAAAUCUAAUUAGAAGGUAGAUUGGACCAAAUAAAAUAGUUCAUGGAGUAAAGUGAGAUUAAAUUUUACUUAAGAGGUUAAGUGCAUAAAGUAAAUAGGUUAGGGGUAAAAUGGACUUUUCCCAAAGAAAAUGCACCACCCGGCACACGUUGAUAGCGGGUCAAACAGAUCAUCAUCCCCGGCUAGUGGUUCAGAAGAGCAAUUUGAACAGAAGAUGCCCAACGUCAAUUUGAGUCUAUCUUGGUUCAGAACUUCAUACGGCGCGACAGGAAAUAAAGAUAAUAAUCUUCUACUACCUGUGUCUAUCUUUCUGAACGUACAAGUUUCUUCUUCGGAAAAAAAAAACUACAGUCGUACAAGAGAGCCCAAACUAGUACCCAACUAGUAACUUAGUAAGCCCAUGAGCAUCAACAGCCCAUCCAACAAGAGAGGAAGAGGAUCCCUUCCAAAUCGCCUUUGCUCGCCCGGCCCGACAUCAUAGCCAUCUCGUCGGUCGUCGUGACGGGACCGCGCCCGACCGGCGGCAUCUCGGCCCAGAUGCUGCACCUGCCUUCUUCGUGAUUGGAUUUGGAACAAGUCUGCUGCUGUCAUGCAUGGUCAUCGUCUGUCUGUCGAUUCUCUAUGAGUUUUAAAAAUUAUUAUCACCAAACAAGAAUGUUUUAAUUUUCCCCUUAGCAAUAUGUUCUAAUUUUCUCACCAUGUCAACCAUCAAUUAGCAUCUGUACAUAAAUUUCAUCUUUAAAACAGGAACUAUCUAUUCCUCACAAAGUGAAAUGAAGGGCUUCCCCACUCGAAUUUUUCAGCUAUUAGAUCUAAAAUCGGUGGCUCGGAUCAACUCCCUCUCUCUAUCUUAUCUCCUCCCUCCCCCCGACUCCCCCCACCAACCCCGACGCCACCCCUCCCUUCUCGUCCGCUCCUGUUGCCCUCCUCCUCCCUGCUACCUCCCCGGCGCCGACGAGGCCCGCCUCCCACCGCCACCCCUCCCUCCUCGUUUGCCCCUGCCACCCUCUCUGUCUCCGGCGGCUGUCGCUGCUAGAGACACCACCGCCGUCUCUACCGCUGCCGCUCCUCCCUCUGCCGUCGUCGGCUACAUCGCCCCCGCCCCGGCACCGCCCAACUGCCGUUCACUGCCGCCGCACCUCACCGCCCCCACGCCCGCCACCUCCACUGGGCCGACCUUCCCUCUAGGGCCGCCGGUGAGCACUCACUCCGAAACCCUGAACCCCUAACCUCGGCGCCCCUAAUCUCGCCGGAGUUGGAGAAGAAAGGGGAAAUGGUGUGCAAAUGCGGAGGAAGAAAAAUUUGCGUGAGGAAGACCUCUGUUUCACUCGGGUGAGCUAUAGCUUUUCCGUAAAACAAAAAGAUUUGUGUGGUUGGGGAAAUUGGUUUAACUUCUCAAUCGCAUAUCCGCAUGCAACCGCAAGCACGCCGUGUAUCGUCUGAAUCGUGAUCGGUGAUCACAGGACCGGUUGGCGCAUUGCGAUGGUUAACGACCGGUCAUCAUGAACUCAGGAUCGUGCUUGUCCUCCGGGCUCGAGUGACGGCCAAGUUCAGGAAUGCGAUGCUAGCGGAGUUUUGUACAAGCGCGUGCCGUGGUCUCUCGUCGGGUCUCACCAGGGGAAGAGGCGGUCAAGUACCUCGCCGUCGACUUCGCCAACAACAGCAAUGAGUGGGCCGGGUGCCGGCCCGCUACUGCCGAUCGAACUGAAUGGAGAAUUGGAGGUACAUGCACAGGUGUUGCCAUGUUGGGAAGAACUAGUUGUACUCUUCUCCCAUAUGCUGCAGUCGAGUGUAUCCCCCCUAAUGCUAAAUUCGAUAGAGAGACUGAAACGGUCGAUCACUUGUGAUAGGACUCCGGCAGAUCUUAACUAAUGAUUCUCGCCUCAAUUUGUGCAGUGCUUAUAACAAGGGAAAGGACCUUUUUCUGUGGUGUCCAGCGCAUCAUCACAUUUAUUUGGCUGUAAGCUGUAUCAUGACAUUUGCAACGGCCUUGUCACUUUGCAGUACAAACAUACAGCAAGCAAGCAUGAACUCCAUGUAGCUCAUAAUAAUUUGUUUAUUUCGACGAAAUACACGAUAGUACGUAUGCAAAGUAAUCCAUUCACUUUGCCGCUAACAGUGUAUAUACACCGUAUACAAUUACCAUCGACUAAGCACAUUACCGCUAUUGUUCUGUUUAUCACGCUCGUUUCGCAGAGAGUAUGAUCGGUAUAGGCGUAUACCAGACACAUGCAUGCUGACGUGCUUGACUCGACUCCACACCCGACCGUCAAGGGUGUGCGUGCAACACUUGCAUGCGCUCGCCAUGCAUGUCAA
rnacentral:lncRNA from 1 species